rnacentral:rRNA from 1 species
AGUCUGACCUGCCCUAUGAUAAAAUUAAAUGGCCGCGAUAAUUUGAUCGUGCAAAGGUAGCAUAAUAAUUAGUUUCUUAAUUAGGAACUGGAAUGAAAGGUUGAACGAAAAAAUAACUGUCUCAAUUUAAAAUUUAAUUAGAAUUUUAUUUUUAAGUAAAAAAGCUUAAAUAAGUUUAAAAGACGAGAAGACCCUAUAGAGUUUUAUAUUAAUUAAUUUAUUUUUUAGUUUUAGAAUUUAAGUUUAAAAUUUAUUAAUUAUAUAUUUAAUUGGGGUGAUUAAAAAAUUUAAUGAACUUUUUUUUAUUUAUUUAACAUUGAUUUAUGAUUAAUUGAUCCAUAUAUAGUGAUUAUAAGAUUAAAUUACCUUAGGGAUAACAGCGUAAUUUUUUUUAAGAGUUCUUAUCGAAAAAAUAGAUUGCGACCUCGAUGUUGGAUUAAAAUUAAUUUAUGGUGUAGAAGCUAUAAAAAUUAGGUCUGUUCGACCUUUAAAAUUUUACAUGAUCUGAGUUUAAACCGGUGUGAGCCAGGUUGGUUUCUAUCUUUAA